rnacentral:lncRNA from 1 species
UAUACUAUGUAUUAUGUAACAUAAAACAUUUAUAAUAUAUAUAAUUUUAUAUAUGUACCUAAAAAUAAAAAUCAGAAUGUUUGUAGCCAACUCUGCAAAGUGAUAAUGUAUUUUUUUAAGAAAAAUCUUUAAACACAAACUAUUUUAAACACAUAAUUAAAUGUUUUUUUAAACUAUAAAAAACAUGAAGCAGCUUAUUAAAUAAAACUGUUUAGCUCAUGACCUCACCUAAACUCACAUACUACUCAGCAAUUACUAAUCAGUUUCCUUCAAAACAGGACCCUGGCAGUAAGCACCUGCAAGCACUAAUGAAGGCAACAAUUCAUAACCAAGAUUGUCCUUCAGAAUCGUCUAAAGGAUUUCAGUACACACGUGGACCAGAAGUCCAAGCCAGAGCUCCCAGAGAAGAAUUUUCAAGCACCCCCCUCCCACAAAAGUGGUGAGAGUAUCAUAGAAUAAAUCAUCACCAGGUAAGCUAGCUUGAGACA